rnacentral:misc_RNA from 1 species
AACUUUUGGCAACGGAUCACUUGGCUCCAGCAUCGAUGAAGAACGCAGCGAAAUGCGAUAAGUAGUGUGAAUUGCAGAAUUUAGCGAACCAUCGAAUCUUUGAACGCACCUUGCGCCCGCCGGCAACCCGGCGGGCACGCCUGUCCGAGCGUCGUCAGUACCCCUCGGGCUACGUGCCCGGCGCUAGGAGAACGCCUUCUACCCCUCUAGCUUACCAACUAUUGUUCGCGAUAGAGGAGAGGGCGCCUCCUGAAAAUUAGUGAGCGGCGUCCGCCCUGGGUGCCCCCCGCGUAGUGAAUAACAAGUCCUACUCUUAUAUGAGACGGGGCGCGCGAUGGGGAACCGGGAGAUGCUAGCCGUACGCCCCUAUAGCGAGAAGUCUGACCUCGGAUCAGGCGGGGAUACCCGCUGAACUUAAGCAUAUCAAUAAGCGGAGGCU